rnacentral:misc_RNA from 1 species
GUGAAUCAUCAAAUUUUUGAACGCAAAUUGCACUCUCUGGUAUUCCGGAGAGUAUGCCUGUUUGAGGGUCAGUUUAAAUAAAAAUCGGUGUGGUUGCUGCCUUUAUUGGUGGCGCACGGGAUUUGGGUCUUCUUGCUUUCGGUUAAUUGACCUAAAAUUUUGCAUGAUGUUUUUUGAACGUAUUUAAAUGAUUUUACGUAGGUUUGCGGUAUCGAAGAGUAGGUGUGGUCAUCCGUAUGAUUUUGGCCUGUAAUUUUUCAUCA